rnacentral:rRNA from 1 species
GACGAACGCUGGCGGCGUGCCUAAUACAUGCAAGUCGAGCGGACUUGACAGAGCUUGCUCUGUUCAAGUUAGCGGCGGACGGGUGAGUAACACGUGGGCAACCUGCCCUGCAGAUUGGGAUAACUCCGGGAAACCGGGGCUAAUACCGAAUAAUAUGGAAAACCUCAUGGUUUUCUUUUAAAAGGCGGCUUCGGCUGUCACUGCAGGAUGGGCCCGCGGCGCAUUAGCUGGUUGGUGAGGUAACGGCCCACCAAGGCGACGAUGCGUAGCCGGCCUGAGAGGGUGAUCGGCCACACUGGGACUGAGACACGGCCCAGAAUCCUACGGGAGGCGGCAGUAGGGAAUCUUCCGCAAUGGACGAAAGUCUGACGGAGCAACGCCGCGUGAGUGAAGAAGGUUUUCGGAUCGUAAAACUCUGUUGUUAGGGAAGAACAAGUACCGGAGUAACUGCCGGUACCUUGACGGUACCUGACCAGAAAGCCACGGCUAACUACGUGCCAGCAGCCGCAGUAACAC